rnacentral:rRNA from 1 species
CCCUUAGAUGUCCUGGGCCGCACGCGCGUUACACUGAUGCAUUCAACGAGCUUAUAACCUUGGCCGAGGGGCCUGGGCAAUCUUGUUAACGUGCAUCGUGAUAGGGAUAGAUUAUUGAAAUUAUUAAUCUUGAACGAGGAAUUCCUAGUAAACGCAGAUCAUCAAUCUGCAUUGAUUACGUCCCUGCCCUUUGUACACACCGCCCGUCGCACCUACCGAUUGGAUGGUCCGGUGAAGCCUCGGGAUUGUGGUUCUUGCCGCUUUAUUGUAGCGUGACCGCGAGAACUUGUCUAAACCUUAUCAUCUAGAGGAAGGUGAAGUCGUAACA